rnacentral:misc_RNA from 1 species
AAGACUAUAGACCUGCGGAGUACCUGCGGAGGAUCAUUACCGAGUUAUCAACUCCCAAACCCCUGUGAACAUACCCGAACGUUGCCUCGGCGGGACCGCCCCGGCGCCCCUAGCGGCCCGGAACCAGGCGCCCGCCGGAGGACCCAAACUCUUGCUUUAAACAGUGGCAUACUCUCUGAGUCUCACAAACAAAAAAUAAAUCAAAACUUUCAACAAUGGAUCUCUAGAUCGGAAGAGCAC